rnacentral:rRNA from 1 species
GAUGAACGCUAGCGGCAGGCCUAACACAUGCAAGUCGAGGGAGGAGCUUUCGGGCUUCGACCGGCGUACGGGUGCGUAACGCGUAUACAAUCUGCCUUUCACAUAGGGAUAGCCCGAAGAAAUUUGGAUUAAUACCUAAUGGUAUAUAGGAGUGGCAUCACCUUUAUAUUAAAGCUGAGGCGGUGAAAGAUGAGUAUGCGUUCUAUUAGCUAGUUGGAGAGGUAACGGCUCCCCAAGGCGACGAUAGAUAGGGGUUCUGAGAGGGAUAUCCCCCACACUGGUACUGAGAUACGGACCAGACUCCUACGGGAGGCAGCAGUGAGGAAUAUUGGACAAUGGUCGGAAGACUGAUCCAGCCAUGCCGCGUGCAGGAAGACGGCCUUAUGGGUCGUAAACUGCUUUUGCAGGGGAAGAAUAAGGAGUACGUGUACUUUGAUGACGGUACUCUGCGAAUAAGCAUCGGCUAACUCCGUG